GCUCUCCUGAGCUACAUCCUGUUACGCAGGCUAAUAAUUCGGCUGGGGAUUGGUCGAUUUAGAUGAUUGACACCUCGUUUUAACCGCAAGAGCCAAUAUAUUUUAGGGGCAGUAUCGAAAUGUGUGCCAGACACAUGAUUGGCUAACAGUAAGGAAGCGAAUACAACUACCGCGAAACCAACUUCGAUGCAUGCGUCAUGAAAGGAAGCCAUCUUACACUAAAAAUAAGUGAGGUUCACAUUAAAGCUGGUUGUAAACAAAUGCAGACAUGUUGGACGUACUAAAACCGGAGUUUAUUGCUCUCAAGUACAACUUUUCAUCAAAAAAUCGCAAAGUGUUUGUUUGUGUCUGUGUGGUCCAGGCUCCGACUAUCUUGUCCGUCGCCCAGGUCAUCUGCUUAUUCCACGCAGCGGCGAUAACCUCUUCCAACUGUGUAUUUGAACCCUGGCUUCCCAUCCACUCAUGGCCGGAUCGUUGGCUGUCAUUACACUUCCACAUACUGGUGUCCAUCUUAUCUGGUUACCUGCCUGCCUGCCCGCCCAUAUAUCCGCCUACACAGUCAACAUUUCCAUUCAAGUUAUUCCCUGUCUUGUCAUUAAAUCUGAUAACCUCUAUUCAAGUAAUCUGAUUGUUUUCAGCAUUUGGGGUUGAGCUCGGAACCAUAACAAGGCUUUUGUUAUUGAUUUGAAUGAGUGCCCCAAAAGCGACAGGAGAACGAAUUAGAGCUCAGACAUAAUGGCGUCUUAAACAAUCGUAAAUUUGUUUGAAGCCUAAAAACCUUGUUUCAAUAUCUACUCAGGUUCACACAAAAUAAUGCUACUUUGGAUUUUAUUUUACAUGUUUUAUUAAGGAUUUAGCAUUUGACACAAUAAUAAUAAUAAUAAUAAUACAUCUUUAAAAUGUACCUAAAUUCAAGCCUUAAUCGUGUAUUGGACCUCUAAAUUGAUAAUAAAAACAGUUGAAAUUAUAUUAAAAUAAGACUACAAAGAAAAUGAUGUUCACUAUAUUACCUAAGUGAAAACCUUCUGAAAAACUUUUCUAUCGUCUGUCUGAAUCAACCCAGAUCCAGAUCAUAGUUAUAGAACUGACUGAUAUGAAGAGCGUGUAGAGCCCAAACAGGAAGCGAUCAAUGAUGGAAGCCACCUGGAUCCACUCCUCAGACUUCUGGUCCCCACUCAGCUGCUGUUUAUUAUGUUAUUAUUAACACUUAUAGAUCGGCUUAUUAACACCAAUUAAUGUUAAUAAGCAUAUAAUAAGUGUCUUAUUACCUAUUAACAAAUGCUUAAGGACCUUUAAUAUAAAGCGUUACCAUAUUCUUAACUUUGAAUGAGUGGCAUGCAGUUCCUCACACACCUCUUCAGUCGACCACAGAGGACAGACGGGUAUAGUUUGAGAUGUGGGUAGAGAUCCAGUACGC